AUGUGAGGUAGAGGCGCGAUAUUUAUUAGUUUUUCAUAGAGUUCGAGCAAACGAUGAAAUGAAAAAGAAGGAGAUAUCGCCGAAGUGUAAAGUAAGCUCAAUGCUUUAUGCUGGGUCUGCAGUGAAUAACUGCAGGACUGUCUCAAGUAUAGUUUCCCAACGUACUUGAGUUGUGCUAUCUCUAAA
rnacentral:ncRNA from 2 species